rnacentral:rRNA from 1 species
UACGUAGGCAGCGAGCGUUGUUCGGAGUUACUGGGCGUAAAGCGCACGUAGGCGGCGCAGCAAGUCAGGGGUGAAAUCCCGGGGCUCAACCCCGGAACUGCCCUUGAAACUGCAGUGCUAGAAUUCUGGAGAGGCGAGUGGAAUUCCGAGUGUAGAGGUGAAAUUCGUAGAUAUCGGGAGGAACAUCAGUGGCGAAGGCGGCUGCCUGGCCCAAUACUGACACUCAGGUGCGACAGCGUGGGGAGCAAACAGG